CGGGUGAGUAAUGUCUGGGAAACUGCCUGAUGGAGGGGGAUAACUACUGGAAACGGUAGCUAAUACCGCAUAACGUCGCAAGACCAAAGAGGGGGGCCUUCGGGCCUCUUGCCAUCGGAUGUGCCCAGAUGGGAUUAGCUAGUAGGUGGGGUAGCGGCUCACCUAGGCGACGAUCCCUAGCUGGUCUGAGAGGAUGACCAGCCACACUGGAACUGAGACACGGUCCAG
rnacentral:rRNA from 1 species